rnacentral:rRNA from 1 species
UACGUAGGGUGCAAGCGUUGUCCGGAAUUAUUGGGCGUAAAGAGCUCGUAGGCGGUCUGUCGCGUCGGCUGUGAAACUCGGGGCUCAACCCCGAGCCUGCAGUCGAUACGGGCAGACUAGAGUGCUGUAGGGGAGACUGGAAUUCCUGGUGUAGCGGUGAAAUGCGCAGAUAUCAGGAGGAACACCGGUGGCGAAGGCGGGUCUCUGGGCAGUAACUGACGCUGAGGAGCGAAAGCGUGGGGAGCGAACAGG